rnacentral:lncRNA from 1 species
GGUCUGCAGAUGCCAUCCAGGCGCACGGCGGGUAUAGUGGUUCCGCAACCUUGGGAUGUUCGGCCGAGCGCCUGCCUAACAUGGGAGCGCCUGCCUAACCCUCCUGACUGGAGGGUCAGCGGCGGGGAGUCCUGGCCUUCAAUCGGCCAUCGCCACGGCAGAAACUGGGGCCCGGGCCUUCCCCGUCCGUCCACAGGUCUCAUGGGCGCCCGGACUGGGGCUGAUGUAGUUUCCCGACCUCUGACACAUAGAAUCUGGAGAUUAAAGCUGCUCUGCUAAUAAUUAGGUUCCCACCUCUCAAGAUCAUUAGGAGCUUCUUUUCCAAUUUCUCUGUUUUGCAUGCAUUGGAAGAGCAAAUACCUACCAGAACGGAUAACUUGAGAGAUGUGGAAAGAUCUGGAGCUCAGGACCCACUACCUCCCCGGCCCACUGCAAGCUUGAACAUUUGAUGGUGGACACCCCUCCCUGACUUUGUAUUAUGGUCCAGAUUUUGGAUGAAUCUCUAUAAUGGAGAUUGAACAGUGUCACUGGCGUGGGGGUUACCUUCCCACUAUGUCCCCCAGAAGACAUGAGGCCACAGACUGCAGUGCCCGUGGACAGAGGAGCUGUGGGGAUGGAAGUGUGAUUGCUUCAUUCAAAUGCACGCCCCGGUGCGUGUGCGUCUCUUCUGAUGCAGCGCCCCAUGGAUACCCCAUCAGCCUGAGUCUCUUAAAGGCCUUUAUACACACAUGUCUACACAUAGGGAUUUGGAUUAUCUCGGGAUCCCACAUCCUCGCUGUCCCCUGUCCCCCCGCAACAUCCCCCACCAAUACCUUUCUGAAGUUUUCUAGUCCCUCCUUUUUGUUUGUGCUCCUUAAAGCCCAGCCCCAUGCCUGACUUUGGUUCCCAGUGAGCAUUGUACAUUUGUGGAUAUUAAAUCUUUGGCAAAGUCA